AUUUUAUUUUUAAUCAUUUUAAAAUUUGAAUUGCAAUUUUCGUUACAUUUGAUCUGUAAGAAUUCGAUUCUGAAUCAUUUUCAUUUCAAAUCGAUUCACACACAUAGCAGACGCUAACACAUCAAGCGUCAUCAAUAGCGUGGUCUGUGGUGCAAUGCUAUCGCUGGAGUAAGGCGUUUACCUUCAAUUCGGGUAGCGUCAUGAUUGGCCUACCCUGAUGGCGUCAUGAUCGCUGCUGAUUCCCUUUCAAAUAGGUUUUCAGCAUUCUGCUUACACCUUUGGCAUAGAGUCACAUAUUUCACAAUCCAACAUCAAUUGGUACCAACAGCAGCCCUUCUCUCCAUCAUGCAGAAGGGUCUGAGAUCAGUGUUGGAGAUGAUGGUUCGGAACAACCCAUGGAAAGCUUAUCACUCAUUGAUGCUGUGAUGCCUGAUGUUGUUGCAAGUCGUCAACAGCAAACACAGAACAAACAGAAACCAUAAGUGGUAAAGACAGAACCACCAAAUUCCAAUGGAGAUGAACCCAUGCAUUCCAAUCGCUGGGAAGAGGAAACAGGAGUAGAGAUACCUGCCAGCAAAUCAACUGUACUUCGUGGCCAUGAAUCUGAAGUUUUCAUU